GUUUUGCUAAGGUUGCUGUUCUGCCUGGAAGGCCCUCAUUCCUCAGCUGCAUGACCCGAGGUUUCCUUCCUCUAAGACCUUGCUAGCGGCUCCUAGAUGCCUUCCAAACCAAAUUCUCUUCUAUGAGAUCAGCUCUUAGCUUUGUAUUCCCUGGCACUUAUGGAGUAUGUUAUGGAGUUUAAAAGCUAAAGCCAAGCCAGGAAGAGGAAGACAAGAUGAGAAACCCCAAAUCAAGGUAAGAGAAGAAAAUAAGUGCAACAUGCCAGAAAUCCAGUAAAGCAGUUCAAGUAUCAGAAGAGCGUGAAUCAAAACCAAGUGCAAGAAGAGGCACCUUGACAUUGAACUGAAGGCCACCAGUCUCCUGCCAGUGCUUCCAAUCGCUGAACUGAACUGGGAACAAAUCAACAAGGGAAACCAAGAGAUGCAUUCCUUGAAGUUCAGCCUCCAGGCCUCAAGUAAGGCAGAGGAAGAGAAUACAUAGAUCUGUGGAGAAGAGUGGUGAUGGUGGGAGCUGCCAAUAAAGAACUAUCAAAAAAGACGAAGUCUUUGUCGUCCAGGCUAGAGUGCAGCUGUGUGAUCUCAGCUCAUUGUAACCUCCACCUCCUGAUACAAGCAAUUCUUCUGCCUCAGCCUCCUGAGUAGGUGGGACUACAG
rnacentral:lncRNA from 10 species